CAGCCGCCACGGGAAUACGUAGGUGGCAAGCGUUGUCCGGAAUUAUUGGGCGUAAAGGGCUCGCAGGCGGUUUCUUAAGUCUGAUGUGAAAGCCCCCGGCUCAACCGGGGAGGGUCAUUGGAAACUGGGAAACUUGAGUGCAGAAGAGGAGAGUGGAAUUCCACGUGUAGCGGUGAAAUGCGUAGAGAUGUGGAGGAACACCAGUGGCGAAGGCGACUCUCUGGUCUGUAACUGACGCUGAGGAGCGAAAGCGUGGGGAGCGAACAGGAUUAGAUACCCGUGUAGUCCCUGUCUCUUAUAC
rnacentral:rRNA from 1 species